ACAAUGAGGCCACGCGUGAUCUAAACACCCCACGUGUGUGAUGAAGUCCCUAGGGUGAUAAAAAACUCAGUCCAGAGAUGAGAAUGACAGUCUCUGGUAAAGAAACCCCGGCUAGUUCUGUGCCAGCAGUCGCGGUAAUUCGGAGGGGGUGAGCGUUGUUCGGAAUUAGUGGGAGUAGAGCGCUCGUAGGCGGAUUAGUAAGUUAGAGGUGAAAUCCCCGGUCUCAACCCUGGAUCUGCCUUUAAAAAUACGAGUGUGGAGUUCGAGAGAGGUAAGUGGAAUUCGGAGAGUAGAGGUGGAAUUCGUAGAUAUUAGGAGGCUCACCGGCGGCGUAGGCGCCUUGCGGGCUCGAAGCUGGCGCUGAGGUCAGAAAGAGAUGGGAGCAAACAGGACUAGAUACCCUGGGAGUCCCCGCCGUCAGCAAUGAAUCACAGUGGUCAGCAUGUACGGAAACUGAAAGGAAUCAC
rnacentral:rRNA from 1 species